ACAGCUGUUGAUUGGUUUCAUUCUUUUUUAUGGCCCAAUAGUAUUCCAUUGUGUAUAUCCACCACAUUUUCUUCAUCCAUUCAUCUGUUGAUGGACACUUAGGUUGAUUCCAUAUCUUGGCUAUCGUGAAUAGUGCUGCAAUAAUCAUGGGUGAUUUCUCUGACCAAUAGAAUAUGGUAGAAGUAACACUGAACAAGUUCUGGUUGUAGACUGAGGUCUUAUUUUCCACUGUUGCUGUCUUAGAACUCAACUGCUACGUGAAGAAGCAAGGUUAUUCUGUUGAGGAGGCUUCAGGAAGAAAGAGGCCCUAGAGGAGAAAAGACUAUGAGAUAAAAAUAGGUCCAGCCAACUUAGACUUUCUAAGCAACUAGCUAAGACCCUGAGAAAGGCCAGCUUGGAUUCUCCUGCCCCAGCUGAGCUUCCAGAAGACUCAGCUAAACAAACAUGAGGAACAAAGCCAUCUCUGCAGAGUCCUGUCCAAAUUGCAUGGUCAUGAGCAAAUGAAUGGUGGUUGUAUCGUAAAUCCUUAAGUUUUGAGGUGACCUGUUGUGUAUCAAUAAAUAACUUACACUGAUAAUUUCAUUAAAUAAUUAUAUUUUACUAAGUGGAAAGAAUUAGGAUCCAGAAUAUUAUCUUGUCAACAUAGAAAGGAUAGUGUUAUUUCACAUAGGACAUUGCAAAUUUCAACCCAUAUUGCCUCAGAUCAGCUUAUGACUUCCUACUACUAUUUUUAGAAGGACUAGUGUUUAUACGGGACUAUUUCUCAACUGAUUCUCUUGCUUAGUUACUACAAAUUUGAGGUUUGCCUUUCACUUGAAUUGGGCUUUCUAGGAAGAAAAUCAAACUAUUUCCUACACUGUGCCUCUCAACCUAACCAUGGCUGUUUCUCUGCUCUUUUAAUCUUUACUCUACACCUCUGCCAACCAGCUCAGACUUUGGAGAUGGAAAAUGGAAGGAACAAAAGAUGAGAAAGGGGAAAAGAAAGGUGGGCAACGCAGCAUGAGAAGUCAGAGCCAGAGCUCUGAAGCAGAAACUUGGCUCCCGGCAUCCUCCUGUACUUGCCUGUUUGAUCCGUCAUCCUCUUUGUAGCCAAUCUCUGAGCUCCACCACCACUGCCCAUCCAUGCAGGGGCCCCCUUUGCUCUGUGUUUGGGCUCUGACUCCCUGUUCCAGGCGGUCACUCCAUGUGGACACCCUCCUCAUUGAGCUUGGGUUCGGGCUUCCUACAUUGCAUUGCUGGCCUGUCUAGAUGCCCUCCUGACCGCUCUUGGUCCCUGAAGGCCACCCUCCCCUCCCUGCU
rnacentral:lncRNA from 1 species